rfam:Oryza glumipatula chromosome 3, whole genome shotgun sequence.
UUUAAGAGAGAUUAUAAGUUUUCGCGUCCAACUUUAGUCAUCUGUUUUAUUUAAAAAAAAUUAUAAUUAGUAUUUUUGUUGUUAUGAGAUGAUAAAACAUGAAUAAUACUUUACUCGUAACUUAUGUUUUUAAUUUUUUUAAAAAAAAUUUAAAUAAAUAGACGAUUAAAGUUGCGCACGGAAAAUCAUGGCUACAUUUAAA